ACUAAGCGUACACGGUGGAUGCCUUGGCAGUCAGAGGCGAUGAAGGACGUAGUAACUUGCGAUAAGCGUAGAUGAGGCAGUAACAGCCACUUGAGUCUACGAUUUCCGAAUGGGGAAACCCACUGGCAUAAGCCAGUAUCAUUGAGUGAAUACAUAGCUCAAUGAAGCGAACCGGGAGAACUGAAACAUCUAAGUACCCCGAGGAAAAGAAAUCAACCGAGAUUCCGAAAGUAGCGGCGAGCGAAAUUGGAUUAGCCCUUAAGCUUUACAUGUGUUAGACGAACGGUCUGGAAAGUCCGACGAUACAGGGUGAUAGUCCCGUAGUUGACGAUGCAUGUUCAGUGAAAUCGAGUAGGGCGGGACACGUGUUAUCCUGUCUGAAUAUGGGGGGACCAUCCUCCAAGGCUAAAUACUCCUGACUGACCGAUAGUGAACCAGUACCGUGAGGGAAAGGCGAAAAGAACCCCUGUGAGGGGAGUGAAAUAGAACCUGAAACCGUGUACGUACAAGCAGUAGGAGCACCUUCGUGGUGUGACUGCGUACCUUUUGUAUAAUGGGUCAGCGACUUAUAUUCAGUGGCAAGGUUAACCAUCUAGGGGAGCCGUAGGGAAACCGAGUCUUAACUGGGCGCCAUAGUCUCUGGAUAUAGACCCGAAACCGAGUGAUCUAGCCAUGGGCAGGUUGAAGGUUGAGUAACAUCAACUGGAGGACCGAACCGACUAAUGUUGAAAAAUUAGCGGAUGACUUGUGGCUAGGGGUGAAAGGCCAAUCAAACUCGGAGAUAGCUGGUUCUCCCCGAAAGCUAUUUAGGUAGCGCCUCGGACGAAUACUACUGGGGGUAGAGCACUGUUAAGGCUAGGAAGCAGCCAUCAUUUAAAGAAAGCGUAAUAGCUCACUAGUCGAGUCGGCCUGCGCGGAAGAUGUAACGGGGCUAAGUUGUAAACCGAAGCUGCGGCAAUGUUCUWUGAACAUUGGGUAGGGGAGCGUUCUGUAAGCCGUUGAAGGUGUGUUGUAAAGCAUGCUGGAGGUAUCAGAAGUGCGAAUGCUGACAUGAGUAACGACAAGGGAGAAUACCAAGGCGCUUGAGAGAACUCGGGUGAAGGAACUAGGCAAAAUGGUACCGUAACUUCGGGAGAAGGUACGCUCUUGAUGGUGAAGUCCCUUGCGGAUGGAGCUGACGAGAGUCGCAGAUACCAGGUGGCUGCAACUGUUUAUUAAAAACACAGCACUGUGCAAAAUCGUAAGAUGACGUAUACGGUGUGACGCCUGCCCGGUGCCGGAAGGUUAAUUGAUGGGGUUAGCGUAAGCGAAGCUCUUGAUCGAAGCCCCGGUAAACGGCGGCCGUAACUAUAACGGUCCUAAGGUAGCGAAAUUCCUUGUCGGGUAAGUUCCGACCUGCACGAAUGGCGUAAUGAUGGCCACGCUGUCUCCACCCGAGACUCAGUGAAAUUGAAAUCGCUGUGAAGAUGCAGUGUACCCGCGGCUAGACGGAAAGACCCCGUGAACCUUUACUACAGCUUGGCACUGAACAUUGAACCUACAUGUGUAGGAUAGGUGGGAGGCUUUGAAGACGUGACGCCAGUUGCGUUGGAGCCGUCCUUGAAAUACCACCCUUGUAUGUUUGAUGUUCUAACGUUGGCCCCUAAUCGGGGUUGCGGACAGUGCCUGGUGGGUAGUUUGACUGGGGCGGUCUCCUCCCAAAGAGUAACGGAGGAGCACGAAGGUGGGCUAAUCACGGUUGGACAUCGUGAGGUUAGUGCAAUGGCAUAAGCCCGCUUAACUGCGAGAAUGACGGUUCGAGCAGGUGCGAAAGCAGGUCAUAGUGAUCCGGUGGUUCUGAAUGGAAGGGCCAUCGCUCAACGGAUAAAAGGUACUCCGGGGAUAACAGGCUGAUACCGCCCAAGAGUUCAUAUCGACGGCGGUGUUUGGCACCUCGAUGUCGGCUCAUCACAUCCUGGGGCUGAAGUCGGUCCCAAGGGUAUGGCUGUUCGCCAUUUAAAGUGGUACGCGAGCUGGGUUUAGAACGUCGUGAGACAGUUCGGUCCCUAUCUGCCGUGGGCGUUGGAAGAUUGAAGGGGGCUGCUCCUAGUACGAGAGGACCGGAGUGGACGAACCUCUGGUGUUCGGGUUGUGUCGCCAGACGCAUUGCCCGGUAGCUAAGUUCGGAAUCGAUAACCGCUGAAAGCAUCUAAGCGGGAAGCGAGCCCUGAGAUGAGUCUUCCCUGAUACUUUAAGUAUCCUAAAGGGUUGUUCGAGACUAGAACGUUGAUAGGCAGGGUGUGUAAGCGCUGUGAGGCGUUGAGCUAACCUGUACUAAUUGCCCGUGAGGCUUAACC
rnacentral:rRNA from 1 species